ACUCCUACGGGAGGCAGCAGUAGGGGAAUCUUCCACAAUGGGCGCAAGCCUGAUGGAGCAACACCGCGUGAGUGAAGAAGGGUUUCGGCUCGUAAAGCUCUGUUGUUAAAGAAGAACACGUAUGAGAGUAACUGUUCAUACCGUUGACGGUAUUUAACCAGAAAGUCACGGCUAACUACGUGCCAGCAGCCGCGGUAAUACGUAGGUGGCAAGCGUUAUCCGGAUUUAUUGGGCGUAAAGAGAGUGCAGGCGGUUUUCUAAGUCUGAUGUGAAAGCCUUCGGCUUAACCGGAGAAGUGCAUCGGAAACUGGAUAACUUGAGUGCAGAAGAGGGUAGUGGAACUCCAUGUGUAGCGGUGGAAUGCGUAGAUAUAUGGAAGAACACCAGUGGCGAAGGCGGCUACCUGGUCUGCAACUGACGCUGAGACUCGAAAGCAUGGGUAGCGGACAGGAUUAGAUACCCUGGUAGCUCGAUG
rnacentral:rRNA from 1 species